UUCCUCCACAGUGAUUGACACACAAACCCCUAAAAUGAGAAGGAUCAGUGGGUCUGUCUGUAGAGAGUGACAGCAUUGAAGCAAGACAUUCAGAAGCCAGCCUGACACAAAGGGGACAAGGACAACUGCCACCCCAGCCCCCAUCUCUUUCCAACCCAAGAGACGAAUUGUAUGUUUCCACAUAUGCUGGACAAUGGGCAGAAAGUGGAGACGCAAAGAACUUGCGAUAUGACCGAGAUCUGUUAUUGCCCUCCCUUGACUGACUCCAUUUUAAGACAGUGUUCUGCAAGUCAGCCUGGCUAUGGCCUGAACUCAUGUUUCGGAUGGCGUCCAACCAUCAUUUAGAUGGUAGAAACUGGAACAGACCACUGAGUGUGGCUUUAGAUGCUAACAUUGAAGAUGCACAACCACAAGGAUGUAGGAGACUGGAUCCCUGAAUCGCUUGGAUGAUAGCAACAAGCUUCUUUGGUGUUAAACAACUUAGAUAUUCUGAUAAAGCAUCUACUAUUGCCUUAAUUAAGGAGUGAUGGAUAAUAUUUUCUUGGACAAAAGUGAUAGAGGUGAAGAUGAAGAGAAGCGGUCAGGUUCUACCUACAAUUGGCAGAGAAACAGGAGUUCCUGAGCAUAUGGACAUGAUGAGAAGGUAAGAGAAGAGCACCGGAGGAUCUGAACGUUUCUGCCCUGCACAUUUGGAGGAAGGAGUUGCCGUUUAUUGUGCUGGAAAGAUUGGAAGAGGACUAGUUCCACAGGCAGAAAACACAGUAUAAUUUUGGACGUGUUACUAUUGAGAUGCCUGGUGUUAUCUUCAUAACUUUAUAUAAAUAUUAUUACCUUAAUUCCUUAAUUUUUUAGCUGAGGAAAUAGAGGCCUGGCAAAAUGAUUUGCUCAAGGGAGUAAGUUUUAGGACAGGAAUUGUUUUGUUUUCUUCUGUUUUGUUUGAGACAGGGUCUCACUGUCACCCAGGCCAGUGUGCAAUAGCAUAAUCGUGGCUCACUGCAGCCUCGACCUUCCUGAUUCAAGCAAUCUUCCUGCCUCAGCCUCCCAAGUAGUUUAGACUAUAGGUAUGCACCAGUAUGCCUGGCUAAUUUUUAUUUUUAUUUUUAUUUUUUGUAGAGACAGGGUCUUGCUUUGUUGCCCAGUGUGGUCUCAAACUCUUGCGCUCAAGCCAUCCUCCCACCUCGGCCUCCCAAAAUGCUAGGAUGACAGCUGUGAGUCACCAUGGCUGGCAAUAUUUUAUUUAUUUAUUUUCCAAAUUUUUUAAUGUUUUAAAUAGACACAUACAUAUUGUACAAAUUUAUGAGUACAUAGUGAUGUUGUAGUACAUGUAAUGUGUAGCAAUGAGAUCAGAGUAAUUAGCGUAUCCAUCCUUUCAAAUAUUUAUCAUUUAUUUUGUUAGGAAGAUUCAGUAUCCUCCUAGCUAUUUGAAACUAUAUAUUAUUAACUAUAGUCAUCCUACAGUGCUAUAGAAUACUAGAACUUAUUCUUCCUACCUAGCUGUAAUUUUGUAUCCUUUAACAAAUCUCUCCCUAUCCAUCCCUUCCCCCACCUUCCCCAGCCUCUUCUAGUUUUUACUUCUAUGAGAUCAACUUGUUUUAGCUUCCACAUAUGAGUGAGCACAUGUGGUGAUUAACUUUCUGUUCACUUCACAUAAUGUCCCCCAGGUCCAUUCAUGUUACCAUGAAAGGAGUCCAUUCUUUUUUAUGGCUGAUUAGUAUUCCAUUGUGUGUAUAUACCACAUUUUCUUUAUCCAUUCAUCUGUUGUUGGAUACCUAGGUUGACUCCAUAUAUUGAUUAUUAUGAAGUGUGCUACAAUAAACAUGGGGGUGCAGAUGUUUCUUCAAUAUGCUGAUUUCCUUUCCUUGACAUAAAUGCUCGGUACUGGGAUUGCUGGAUGAUAUGGUAGUUCUAUUUGUAGUUUUUUGAGGAAUCUUCAUACUUCUUUUCCAUAGUUUCUAUACUAGUUUAUAUUCCCCAGAGUGUAGAAAGUCGUUCUCUUUUGGCGCAUCCUCACUGGCACCUGGUUUUUUUUAUUUGCUGAUUUUGGGUUUUUUUUGUUUGUUUGUUUGCUUUUUGUCUAUUUGAUUAAUAACCAACCUAACUGGGGUGAAAUGAUACCUCAUUGUGAUUUUGAUUUGCAUUUGUUUUGGUGAUUAGUGAUAUUGAGUUUUAAAA
rnacentral:lncRNA from 1 species